rnacentral:lncRNA from 1 species
UUUCAUUGAGAGAAAUCAUAAUCUUCAAGCUGGAAGGAUCCCCAGAGAUGGAGAGUUCUUCUUUGACAGUCUUCUUGUAUCAGAGUGUUGGAGAAACUAGGAAAGAGCUAGCAGCUGAGAGAGAAAUAAGAUGCCUUGUGAAACCUAAAGAGGGUGUAUGACUACCAUCUUGGAAAGUAUUUAUGCUCCUAAAAGGAGAAUAAAUAUGGGAGCUGGGUCUUCAGUAUCACAGUUGAAGUAACAGAUUUGUCAAAGAUGUUCUCACAUUUACCUGCUUUCCUGGCCAUCAUCAAAACCAGCUGCUGACCUGUUGCCAUGGCGUGGCAAGCCAGCUCCAGAACUCAGGACCAACCAGCAGGCAAGUCAGUUUCACUGAAUCGGCAGGGCACCCUGAAGAGGAGAUGGGAGAGCUCAGGUGCUGAGCAAGGCAAACUAGUGUCAGCACUUCAAUAACUACUUCCCUUCAGACAGAUGUGGCCAUGAUUCUAAGCCUAAGAGGACCCUUGGCCCUGACUGCAGUCAUUCCAUCAUCCAGGGAAUCAGCCUUGUGGAAAGUGGACCUAACCCCUGUUUGGACAACCCCUGACUUUGCAGCCAAAGCUACUGUGCACCUGGAGAAAAUGGGGCUUAUUGCCCAAGGUCUGUGCAUUGUCAGGUGAUUCAGUGUUGAAAUAGAUACAAUUUUAACACUGGAAAAUAACAUAAAACAGGAUGUGUUACCAUCUCCUUGCCACUGCACCUUAAAGACCUUGGGCUUGGACCAUCUGAAACCUGCUGUUUCUUUUCCCCUUACUAGAAUGUGAACUAUUUGAAUGCAGAAAUUUCUGUAAACAAUACUUGGCAAUGUGUUUUAUGCAUAGUAAUCAUUUAAUAAGUGAUUCACUCAUUCAUGGUCAGACACUUACCUUUUGCCCCAGCAAUGUUAAAGAGCACAGGAAAAAAAAAAUCGAGAGAUAUCAGACAGGAGUCCUUUGUAAACUUCUGGCCAACUGGACCUAAUCAUAAUGACCUAAUUGCCUCACUGCUUAGUGGAGAUUGUGCUGCACUUUUCCAGAAGAAGCUGACUUGUGAGUUGGCAAAAGAAAAACUUGACUCCCUCCAAUCUACGCUUCAGGGAGAAUUCUUCAGAUUAUAAACUUUGUGAUUUCUGUUCAGGAACAUGGACAUACACAGAAAGAAAAGACUAACUCAGAAACAAGUUAAAAACUGACAAAUUCUUUUUGGUUUCCUUGAAAGUAACUAGGCUAGAGAGCUGCUUUUGCUUUUUUGGAUUUUCUAUCCAGCUGCAAUAAUCACAAUUAAAAGAGAAAAGGAAAAACAUCACUAUUCAUUUGUUAACUGUAAAAAUGCAAUUCCAGCAGUAAUUGCAAUGGUUUGCAAUUUCCCCAGGUCAAUAAAUAGCUCCCAUAACUUUAAUAAACAUUGAUGCUCUGGG